ACCAAGUUGCUAGUAAGAGAAAAGGACUAUUUAAUCUCAAAGCAAGAAUGAAAAAGAGAAGUGUAAAGAACAGGCUAAUAGAUGCUACAAACAACUAUUUAAGUGUCUGCUCAUUUAGCAGAACAAAAUAAAACUCACUAAGCUGACAAGGUGUCAUAGAUAAUAAUGAGAAGAGGAAGAAAAAUCCAAGUUAAUUCAUCAUAUAUUCUGAUACACUUCAGCUGCGGAUUAAAGGAACCAUGCCAGUUGCUGCAACUCCAGACAGAGAGCGAAGGAAUCCUAUAGGAGCCCCCUGGGUUUAUAGAAGUCUAUCAAUCACCCUGUCGGUCUUCCGGAUCAUUAUUCAAGUUGCUAUACCCAAUUUUGCUGGAUAUAUCAGAUCAACUCCAGCUCCAUAGAUGGACAGUGUGUUUUCUUCCUAUUUUUAAAGACAGAAAGGUGGAAAAUUGGUGAAUGUUAUGAGGACACACUGGGAAGUACAUUGUUACUAUGGCAAUAAAAAAGAGAACAAAUGCCUCAAUUCUUCUUGCCUGUUUGGGAAAACUGGGAAACUGCUAACUUUGACACGAGAAGCAACAAGUGGUGGAAGGGAGGUUUCCACAGGAAGUAAAGCAUCUAACACUCUCCUCCCCUUCAACUUGAA